rnacentral:lncRNA from 1 species
AACUUCCCUUGUGGUUUCGUAGUUUCUCACUUUGCUCCCCUGUGAUUUAAAGUGUAUCAAUUUGCUUCCCUGUGGUUUCAUUUUUAUCUUUUCGGUAGUUUUUUUGUUAAUAUUUUAUUAAAUUAUAUACAAAAAACUUCAGAUACCCAUCUAGAUUUAUCAAAUAUUCACUUUAGUAUUCUUUAAUUUUAACUUUAUCACUGAUUUAAGAAAAAAAAUAAUGAAAUUGAUAAGAAAAAAAAAAAAAAUAAACCACAUGGUGGCAAAUUGAUAUAUUUUUAACCAGAGGGGGGCAAAGUGAGAAACUACGAAACCACAGGGGUUUCUGAAGUUUUCCCCAAAAAAAAAUC